rnacentral:rRNA from 1 species
GAUGAACACUGGCGGCGUGCCUAAUACAUGCAAGUCGAGCGAACGGACGAGAAGCUUGCUUCUCUGAUGUUAGCGGCGGACGGGUGAGUAACACGUGGAUAACCUACCUAUAAGACUGGGAUAACUUCGGGAAACCGGAGCUAAUACCGGAUAAUAUUUUGAACCGCAUGGUUCAAAAGUGAAAGACGGUCUUGCUGUCACUUAUAGAUGGAUCCGCGCUGCAUUAGCUAGUUGGUAAGGUAACGGCUUACCAAGGCAACGAUGCAUAGCCGACCUGAGAGGGUGAUCGGCCACACUGGAACUGAGACACGGUCCAGACUCCUACGGGAGGCAGCAGUAGGGAAUCUUCCGCAAUGGGCGAAAGCCUGACGGAGCAACGCCGCGUGAGUGAUGAAGGUCUUCGGAUCGUAAAACUCUGUUAUUAGGGAAGAACAUAUGUGUAAGUAACUGUGCACAUCUUGACGGCACCUAAUCAGAAAGCCACGGCUAACUACGUG